rnacentral:lncRNA from 1 species
AUAUGAAAAACUAAAUUUAUUUCAUAGUACCUCUGUUACAAUAUAUGAAAAACUAAAUUUAUUUCAUAGUAGAUGUUUGUGACAAAAAUACCAUUACAUAAACAGUAACACAAAUAAUUAUAACAAAUACAAUACAAGAACUAUGUGAUUACAAUCAUCAAAACAAUUUUGAAUAUGUAAUGCAUCAUCAUACGAGCGUCUUGGUCGGUCUUAAUAUCCACCCAUUCACGCACUUCUACGUUUUGGUUGAACGUGGACACAAGCCAUUGUAUUCUUCUAAUCCGUUCACCCUCUCAAAUUUCUCCCUCUAACCAAUUGUACAACGUCCGAUUAAGACGUUCAAACGUACCUGUGUUCCAAAGUCGAACCUGUAUCGGAGCCGCAACAGCAGAAAAUAUUACAUAAGCAUUUCGUUUCUGAAUGUAUGCAGACAUUGUUGAAAUAGAGAGAAUUGAAAUUGAUGGUUGAACUAGACAACUUAUGGUAUUAGGAGAUUAAUUUGAAUGAAAAUAAUUGUAUACAAGACCCGGUAUUUAUAGAAACUGAACAUCUAUUGGACAAACCACGUGAGCGCCAGAUGAAUUGGCACCCACAUGACCAUCACAUGCAGGCGCCAGAUGAAUUGGCGCCCACCAUGCAAAAUGCACUCAGGCGCCAGAGGCAUUGGCGCCUCCUCAUGAGGGCCAAUGCAGGCGCCACAAGCAUUGGCGCCUCCUCAUGAGGCCCAAUGCAUGUGCCAAUGCUCCUGACGCCUACUCUUAUUGGUAUGGGGGUGUGUCAUUUCAUCUGGCGCAUCCUCUACCAAAUUUGGUUAUUUUGGUAUUUCUUUUUGAAAAAUUGAUUAUUUUCGAUUUGUUUUUGAAAAAAUCGGUUAUUUUGAAAAAAAAAUCAAAAGAUCCAAUCUGAUCAAAUCGAAUUUAAUGCAAUUUAAUUUAGAUCAGCUUUUAAAUAUUAAAAUAUUAAAUUAUAUUUUUAUUAAUAUUAUAAAAAUACUAAUAAAUUAUAGGUUUGAUAUAGUAUAUAAUAUAUAAAUAAUAAAAGUUAAUAUUAUAAUAUGAGAAUUACCGAUUAUGAUUGAAAUAAAUAAAGUAAUAAAAAUAAAUAGCUUAGACAAAAUUAAAAAAUAAUAUUAAAAAAUAUAAUUUUAUCAAAUAAUAAAUUGAUAUAAUGUAUUUCAUACUAAUAUAUAUAUAUUAUAUAUAUAUAUAUAUAUGGUUUCAUUUGAUUUGUAUCUAUUUGGAAAAAUGAUCUGAAAUCUGAUAUGAACCGAACGAUUUUAUAAAAUGACAUUCAAACACAAAAAAUUUAAAAAUGACAAAAAAAAUAUAAUUUUUAAAAUGAAACAUCAAAAUUUAAAAAGUAAAACAGAAGGAUCAGAAUUACAAUCAAAUAAAAAUUUUAAAACAAACACGGUCUACUUUAAACUAUGAGAAAUAAAAGAUUCUUGUCUUUGUCUUGUCAUUUAUGUAUUUAUAAAUAUAUUAAAAAUCUAAAUUACAUAUCAUAUGUAUCUUAUUACAUUAUCUUGUAAACUAGUAUUAAAGUUCAAGUCUAGUUAUUAUUAAUGAUAUUUUAAAUAUACAAUAAAUUUAGAAUCAAAAUAAAUCAUUAAUUUAUAUAAUCAUGUAUUACAUUUAAAUUAUGCAAUGACUAUGUUGUUUGUAGUAUCUUGUAUGAGAGAACUAAGGUAAGAAACUCCUAUAAUAUUAUAAUACACUUUUGAAAAUUUCAUAAAAUUUUAAAAGAAAGAAAUUUAGAUUAACAUUUGAAGUAAAUUGUAAAAGUGGACAUACAAAUAAAACUAUAUGCUUUAAAAUAACAUAAUUAUAAUGAUUUUGACGAGAAUAACUUAAUUAUUACACUUUUAUUUGAUAUAUACUCAAUUAUUAUUGUAUCUCGGACUCACAAUAAUUAUUAACGCACUUCAUAAUCGGAGGCAAAAAUGCCUCUGGACAAUCAUCGUCCUUUUCACAGGGCAUUCGAGCUGCAUUUACAAAAAUAAAAAAAGUGUUACUAAAAGAUGAAAUAUGUAUAAAAUCAUAAAUUAAAAAAUUUAAAAAUAGUGUGAAAAAUAACAACUUCUGCUUGUUAUAACAAGAAAUAGGGAAAGGAAGAUGAUCAAAGCAUAAACAAAUGUGAGAAGUUGAACCAUAAUUUCUUCCUUUGCAUGCAGUACUUAUAAAUUUUGAUUAUGUUAUAAGUAAUAAUUGUAUUCUUUGUUAACUUUAAUAAAAUAUUUUUUAACACUAAAGAGUUGUAAGAAGCAAUUUAUAAUUGAAAUUAAUAUUAAAUGUCUCUAAUCAAUAUGUCAUGAAUACCCCUUUAGUUCACUCAUAUGAUCACUUGAAUUAAAUAAAGAUCUCACAUGAAAUAUAUAUUUUUAGUAUAUACUUUAGCCUUUCAUAAAAUAUAGAGAUAAAAU